rnacentral:lncRNA from 1 species
UGGGCUGCUUGGGGACCCAGGGAGCUCCCAAGGUCUUUCCUGCUGCUUCCUCUACCCCUGUAUUUCGUUCGGCUGUCUAGACUGACUCAGCUUCAGGCCCUCUGUGCAUGCCAUGCUUAAUAAGGUAAUAAAAAGGUAAGAUUAUAAAGAAGGAAGAGGCCUAUCAAGGAAAGAAGGCUCUUUAUUUGCUUUGCUGUCAUGGUAUCCUUCCCAUUCCACUGGCUUCCAGCACAUAUGUGGUUGGACAUUCAGAGGUGACAAUGGCCAGAUCAACCUUGAUGGAGUCUUGUUCUGUCACCAGGCUGGAGUGCAGUGGUGCGAUCUCAGCUCACUACAACCUCCACCUCCUGGGUUCAAGUGAAUCCCCUGCCUCAGCCUCCCUAGUAGCUGGGACUACAGGCACACACCACCACACCUGGCUAAUUUUUUGUAUUUUUUAGUAGAGACGGGGUUUCACCAUGUUGGCCAGGAUGGUCUCAAUCUCUUGACCUCAUGAUCUGCCCACCCCACCCUCCCAAAGUUCUGGGAUUACAGGCCUGAGCCACUGCACCUGGCUGCUAGUUCUUAAGAGGGAGGUAUGAGACGUAUGUAUAGACUAAGUGAAAGGAAAAUAUCUUGGGCCCCCAAAAUCACUAAGCUAAAAGGAAAAUUCAAGCUGGAAACUGCUCAGAGCAAACCUGCUUCCCAUUCUAUUCAAAGUCAUCCCUCUGCUCACUGAGGUAAAUGCAUAUUCUGAUUGGCUCCUUUGUAAAAGCUAAUUAGAAACUCAAAAGAAUGCAACUAUUUGUCUCUCACCUACUUGUGACCUGGAAGACCCCUCCCUGCUUCAAGUUCUCCCCACCUUUUUGGACAAAACCAGUGUACUUCUUACUGUAUUGAUUAAUGUCUUGUGUCUCCCUAAAGUGUAUAAAACCAAGUUGUGCCCUGACCACCUUGGGCACAGGUCAUCAGGACUUCCUGAGGCUGUGUCAUGG